rnacentral:rRNA from 1 species
AAAGCGUGUGUAGGUGGGAAACUGUGUCAGGGGUGAAAUCCCGGGGCUUAACCUCGGAAUUGCCUUUGAAACUGGUUUUCUUGAGUAUAGCAGAGGAUGGUGGAAUUUCCAGUGUAGAGGUGAAAUUCGUAGAUAUUGGAAGGAACAUCGGCGGCGAAGGCGACCAUCUGGGCUAUUACUGACACUGAGACACGAAAGCGUGGGGAGCAAACGGGAUUAGAUACCCCGGUAGUCCACGCUGUAAACGAUGAGUGCUAGUUAUCAGGCUUUAGGUUUGGUGACACAGUUAACACGUUAAGCACUCCGCCUGGGGAGUACGGUCGCAAGAUUAAAACUCAAAGGAAUUGACGGGGACCCGCACAAGCGGUGGAGCAUGUGGUUUAAUUCGAUGCUACGCGAAAAACCUUACCACCUUUUGACAUCCCUAUCGCGCCCUUUGUAAUGGAAGGGCUUCGGUUCGGCCGGAUAGGAGACAAGUGUUGCAUGGCUGUCGUCAGCUCGUGUCGUGAGAUGUUGGGUUAAGUCCCGCAACGAGCGCAACCCUCAUCCUUAGUUGCCAACGGGUUAUGCCGGGAACUCUAGGGAAACUGCCCGUGACAAGCGGGAGGAAGGUGGGGAUGACGUCAAGUCAUCAUGGCCUUUACAAGGUGGGCUACACACGUGCUACAAUGGCGGUGACAAUGGGUUGCUACCUCGCGAGAGGAUGCUAAUCUCUAAAAGCCGCCUCAGUUCAGAUUGUAGUCUGCAACUCGACUACAUGAAAGUCGGAAUCGCUAGUAAAUCGUGGAUCAGCAUGCCACGGUGAAUACGUUCCCGGGUCUUGUACACACUGCCCGUCACGCCAUGGAAGCUGGUUCUACCUUAAGCUGGUGAGCUAACUGCAAGAGGCAGCCAACCACGGUAGUGUCAGUGACUGGGGUGAAGUCGUAACAAGGUA